ACAGGCCAGGAUCGCCCCCCGUCAGCGCGUUGCGCCCACGGGGGCCAAGUUG
rnacentral:sRNA from 1 species